GACGAACGCUGGCGGCGUGCUUAACACAUGCAAGUCGAACGCUGAAGCCCUUCGGGGUGGAUGAGUGGCGAACGGGUGAGUAACACGUGGGUAAUCUGCCCUGCACUCUGGGAUAAGCCUUGGAAACGGGGUCUAAUACCGGAUAGGACACAUCGCCGCAUGGUGCGUGUGUGGAAAGUUCCGGCGGUGCAGGUUGAGCCCGCGGCCUAUCAGCUUGUUGGUGGGGUGAUGGCCUACCAAGGCGACGACGGGUAGCCGGCCUGAGAGGGUGACCGGCCACACUGGGACUGAGACACGGCCCAGACUCCUACGGGAGGCAGCAGUGGGGAAUCUUGCGCAAUGGGCGAAAGCCUGACGCAGCAACGCCGCGUGGGGGAUGACGGCCUUCGGGUUGUAAACCUCUUUCGACCGGGACGAAGGAUUCGUUUGACGGUACCGGUAGAAGAAGCACCGGCUAACUACGUGCCAGCCGCCGCAGAA
rnacentral:rRNA from 1 species